rnacentral:lncRNA from 1 species
GGAGGGUAACAGGAGGGGCGUCUGGGUGAAGACAGGCACCUGUGGUUCCUUUCUCUCUCUGGCCGGGGUCUCCGUUUUCACUGAAUCCCUUGUGGACCCCGAAGGGACCAAACACAUUCUACCGGCUGGUGACUGAAGUCCUCACACGCCUGUGCUGCGUUUGCUAUUUCAAAGCAUGAAAUACAGAGUCUUGUGUGGAGAGCAUUUUUCUUUGCCUUCAAAAUGUUUAAACGGUGAGGAAGGUUCGUGGGGAAGGUCAUGAAGAUGUUGGAAUUCAUCAUGCAUUCGACUUUAAAACGUUCUUCAAGGGCUGCCCUGUCGCCGAGUGGUUAAGUUCGCGCUCCGCUUCCGCCACCCAGGGUUUUCUGGUUCGGAUCCUGGGCGUGGACAUGGCACUGCUCAUCAGGCCAUGUUGAGGUGGCAUCCCACAUGCCACAACUAGAAGGACCCACAACUAAAAUAUACAACUAUGUACUGGGAGGAUUUGGGGAGAAAAAGCAGAAAAUAUAAAAAGAAGAUUGGCAACAGUUGUUAGCUCAGGUGCCAAUCUUUAAAAGAAAAAGAAAAAAACAUUCGUCAAACACUAUCAUUAGAAAUUAAAGGAACAUGAUUAAACUUCUCAGGAAACUUGCUAAAAAGAUACAUUUUCAUUUUAUUUUUAGAACCAAUCCUUAGAGUGAAGAAGUCUUAUUUUGCAUGUGGUCUUGUUACUUAGGAACGUUUGAAAAUAGCGCUGACAACUCUCUGGAGAACUGGAAUCCCAUCCCCGUGGAAGGAGAAGAAGGUUUGCUCUGACAAUCCCACUCAAACGACGCAGCUCGAGUUUCUCCUCUCUCCUCAAGCUGCUGUUCCGGGGUGAGGUGGUGCCUGCAUCCAGGGUCAAGAAUGUAGCGCUCUGCUGUGAUUUACUGGAUCCCGUCUACAAGGUCUGGAGGAGUGGGGUGUCCCAGCACUUCUCAUCCUGGUCACCAGACACUGCAGAGGAGGAAAAAUAAUUUUCUCUCCACUCUUUAUGGUGAGUGCCUGACUGAGACCCCCUUUUCUCUAGGGCACCUGCUAAAUGGGUAAGCUUAUCUAGGUUAACCGUUCUCCACAGUGGCCACAUGAUUCAAGAUGAUCUUUGGUAAGGUUAACCUGCUUGUUUAGCCCUAAACCAAGAUUUUACUCCCCUGAGGCCUCACACCGGACCCAGUCCAGCUUCAGUCAGAUCCAGGCUCACCCUGCACCCAGUCUGGUUUCUAAGUCAGACCUGGUCUGGUUUUUAAGUUGUACCCAGUCUGCCUCCGGUUGGUUUUGGACCCGGUGAGGUUUUCAUGUUGAACCUAGUCAUUCUAGUGCCAGCUUCCUCACCAAGUCUGGAAAAAACAAUGCUCACAUGAAGCCGGGGAGCUCAUGAUCACAAAGGAGC